UACGUAGGGUGCGAGCGUUGUUCGGAAUUACUGGGCGUAAAGGGCUCGUAGGCGGCCAACUAAGUCGGAUGUGAAAUCCCCAGGCUCAACUUGGGAACUGCAUCCGAUACUGGAUGGCUUGAAUCCGGGAGAGGGAUGCAGAAUUCCAGGUGUAGCGGUGAAAUGCGUAGAUAUCUGGAGGAAUACCGGUGGCGAAGGCGGCAUCCUGGACCGGCAUUGACGCUGAUGAGCGAAAGCUAGGGGAGCAAACGGG
rnacentral:rRNA from 1 species